rnacentral:rRNA from 1 species
AGUGAACGCUGGCGGUAGGCCUAACACAUGCAAGUCGAACGGCAGCACAGUAAGAGCUUGCUCUUACGGGUGGCGAGUGGCGGACGGGUGAGGAAUACAUCGGCAUCUACUUUUUCGUGGGGGAUAACGUAGGGAAACUUACGCUAAUACCGCAUACGACCUACGGGUGAAAGCAGGGGAUCUUCGGACCUUGCGCGAUUGAAUGAGCCGAUGUCGGAUUAGCUAGUUGGAGGGGUAAAGGCCCACCAAGGCGACGAUCCGUAGCUGGUCUGAGAGGAUGAUCAGCCACACUGGAACUGAGACACGGUCCAGACUCCUACGGGAGGCAGCAGUGGGGAAUAUUGGACAAUGGGCGCAAGCCUGAUCCAGCCAUACCGCGUGGGUGAAGAAGGCCUUCGGGUUGUAAAGCCCUUUUGUUGGGAAAGAAAAGCAGCAGGUUAAUACCCCGCUGUUCUGACGGUACCCAAAGAAUAAGCACCGGCUAACUUCGUG